CAAUUUUAUACAUUUCAGUAAUUUUACAAUCAUUUUAACAUUUGAAACUUGACUUCCUUCCCUCUCUUUCUGCAGUUCCUUAAUUUUUUUAAUAUAUUUUCCGCACAUUCCAAAUUAACUUAAUCAUUUAUUCAUCUGCUAUCGAUGUAUACUCUUAUAAAACUGCAGGUAUUACAAUAAUCCUGCUAAUGUUCUUAUCUGUUUUACAGUUUGUAAAUAUUCAAUAAACCAUUUCCAUUCUUUUAUAAAAAGUUUUAUCUUGAUUUCUCAUUUUUCCUGUAAGUUUCGCCAUUUCUGCAUAUUCCAUAAGUUUUUGUAUCCAUUCUUCUUUCGUCAGGACUUCUUCUUCUUUCCAUUUUUGGGCAAAUAACAUUCGUGCCGCUGUAGCCUCAUACAUGAAUAAAUUCCUUUACAGUUUGGGUAGUUCUGUCCCUAUAAUUCCACAAAAGGUCCCAGGUUCAGUCCUCACCAUCUCCAGUUAGAAAGGUUCAGGGAGCAAGCAAUGAGAAAAGGCUCUCUGCCCAAGAUUGUAGAGAGCCAGCACUACUUAGAGUCGACAGAUCUUCUCUAGAUAGACAAAUAGGUUGACGGUAUAGACAGCAGCUUGCAUAUGAAUCUCUGGUUUACAUCAAGGCAAGAGCACCUUGAGCUUAACUUUUAGCUGUGUGUUCUUAUGAUGAUUUUUUGGAAUUGUCUCCAUUGGAUUCAAACCCAAUGGUAGCCUUAUUGGGGGUUCCAGGUAUUUUUAUUUAUUUAUUUAUUAUUAUUAUUAUUAUUAUUAUUAUUAUUAUUAUUAAAGAGAGGUCUUCUUCCAUCUUUUCUUCACAGGUCGCAAAGUUAUUGAUUGUUCUACAUGUGCACACUCCUGAUCUGGAAGAUAAAUUUGGAAGUGCAAGCUGCUCUAUCUCCACCUGUCAAGCAUUCCAAAAUGGUACCUUCUGGAACUGGAUCCUGAGCUAUCUGCCUUUCCAGCUGAUCUGUUCCAGAGUUCGCUGAAUGGAAGAACUUGGAUUUCCAAAGGCAGAAAUACAAGUCAAAGCAUCAUCGCCACUGCGUAUCUUCAUGAUUGCACACAAGGAGGUUCAUUUUUCUUUUUGUGCAUGCAUGCAUACAUAUAAACUUGUAUGUUGGGUGAUGGACCUAUCUGGAGGGCCACAGUGUGUCUGCAUUAUGAAACAUGACUUCUGCACAAAGACACACAAGUUUCUCUUCAGUAGCUAGCAAAGUAGGGCUUUUCUUCCUCUCCUUCAAGAUGAGUGAAAGCUUCUAUAGCCAGGCUAUUGAUACUUCUCAAUAGUCUCCCAGGAAUAUCCCCUCUUAUUUUGACUCUGCACAUCUCAUCAUGAGCCCCCAGGAAAAUUCUCGUUUGGAAUAGUAUUAUAUUUGAACCCAUGUGUUGUACCAAUGAUAAACUGUUCAAGGAUAAAUAGGUGGAGUGGUCAAGGCCACUUGUCAUGUUCAGAGAGAAAUGCUCUUCAGUUACUAAGGCUCCCAGCCCCCACCCUUACCUGGGAGUAGUCCCAUUGAAUACAAUAGGUUUCACCUUUGAGUAGAAAUGGUUUGGAUUGUGCUGCAAAUGGACAAGUCACUUAAAAAUGGCUCAGGAAAUGGUCUCAACAGCUUUCCAGUGGAAUUUGGCCAGCGGGCCUUGGAGCUGGCUUGGAGUGAAGGGCCGUACCUAAACAAGUAGCCAGAAGAGCACCCUGAGGAAGUGUCUGCUGUGCAGAUGCUAAUUCUAGAGACCCCAAGGAUGGAGUAGAGCCCUGAAGAUGAGCAACACUAGGCAAACUAGCAAUGGAACUUUUUAAAAAAUCUAAUAAAUAAAUAAAAAUAGGGAGAAAACAGAGAGAUUCACGAGGGACACAUAGCAGAAUAAUCCUGUUGCACACCACCCCAAUCUCUGAGCGGUGUGAGAUUCCAGGGGUUCCAGGGUUCGUGUUUCCUUUGGAAAUGAGGCACAGUGGAGACUGUGGUAUCUUUAUGAUAUAUGGCUUAUUUACACACAUAUAUAACCUGAGCCUACAAUGUAGGGGCUCACAGCAUUAUACACCAAGACGUUCUUGCUUCUUCCAUGGCCUCAGUCUUGGAUCCUAACAGAAGUCAGCCAUGGCCCUCUGUCCCUCUGUACAGCUUGCUGCAAUUAACAGAUUACAAUAUCACUGCAAUCUUAAACUCUAAUCUGCUUUAUCUCUGCUGAUUCAACGCUCAGGGCAGAUUGCUCCACCCUGUGGGAAUGUUCAGGGAGGCAGGAGAGGAUAUGUUGUUUAAUGAUAUCCUUCCUAACUUGUGUUAUCAAGUUCUAUAUCUUAGCAGAGUUUAAACAUUCCCCUUUAAAGGUACAGCGGCUUGCUUGUUGCAGGCUCAUCUGAGCCUCUCUCUAUAAGAUUCCUGGUAAGAUCCCUUCUUGUCCCUCUUAAAAAGAAUAGAUACACGGCAAUCUUAUUAAAGUCUAUAUAAAAGUAAUUUACUCACAUUCAUUCAGUUCACAGUUGGAUCC
rnacentral:lncRNA from 1 species